UACGGAGGGUGCAAGCGUUAAUCGGAAUUACUGGGCGUAAAGCGUGCGCAGGCGGUUUGUUAAGUCUGCUGUGAAAUCCCCGAGCUCAACUUGGGAAUUGCAGUGGAUACUGGCAGGCUGGAGUAUGGUAGAGGAGGUGGAAUUCCCGGUGUAGCAGUGAAAUGCGUAGAGAUCGGGAGGAACACCAGUGGCGAAGGCGGCCUUCUGGACCAAUACUGACGCUCAUGCACGAAAGCGUGGGGAGCAAACAGG
rnacentral:rRNA from 1 species